UUGAAACAUGUGUUCUCCUCUUAGGACACCGUGAUGUCUGACCCUCUCUAGCUGGAUCAGCCCUAAAGGAAAAACACUCUGAAAACUGGUCCUUAUGCAACAUGUGUAGACCUUAGGAAGGAUCCGGAGCGUCACUGUCAGAAGGACUCUGAGGUCCAGAAGACUGACCACUAGCACAAGAACGAGCCAGUUAAGGAGCCGGUGCCAGAGGAAGGGACAAAGUUCAGCCACCUACUUCGGGGAGUUUGGCUGGGAAAAGGGCUGAGAUGGAAGGAUGGCUCCAAGGGUGGGGAGGGUUCAAGGAAGCUUUCUGUAAAGGUGGGGGCUGGGUCUGUUUGGAAGUGACCAAGUGAUAGGGAAAGCUUCAACACUGGAGGGAGCUGGGUUUGGCGAAUGAGGGAGGGGGCUCACUGUUGGGGAGGGGGCUGUCGGGGGAUCCAGUGGUGGCUAAAGAAGCUCCUGGAGGAAGCAGAUUUCCAGUAGCCAAGGAGUCGGGACCUUGGGAACCUUCCUCUGAUUUCUUUCCUAGGGAUGUCCAAGGCUGUGAGGGACGUUCUGGGGGAAACGGUUCCAAUUGGGGAGGUUCCUGUAAACCAAGAGGUGCGAGAGGAAGAACCGGAUUUAACAAAAGCUCCCAAGAAUGGUCGCUAAGGUUCAAAGGGCAGCUCCUGGGUCCCCGGGCCAGGACUGAGAGCUUGGUCAGGGCCUUGGAUCCCCGCCUAGAGUCUGGGGAGGGGGCGGGGGGAGAAGGGCGCAGGGAUUAUCUGUGUUGCACAGAGGAGCGUCUGAGGCCGCGGGCUCCCCCGCCAGUGCCAGAGGGAGGCAGCCCCAGGUGGAGGGGACAGGGAGACGGGGCCCCGCCUCCCCCGCGGAGGGCAGCGACCCAGAGCGCUCUGAAAUCGGGGUCCCAAGGUAAAGGAAAUAAAGGCUUUUGACCGUCAGAAAGGGCAGCGGGACACGGAGCGGCCCGGGAAGAGGGGAGGAAGCCCAAAGUCCCGGAGGCGCAAGCUCCGCCCCCCUCUGGCGGGGGGAGUCGGGCCUCGGCCCGCAAUUGAGAAGCUACCCGGAAACGGAGUCCUGACCAGUCGCGCGCUCUUGGCUGCGUCGGUCCCUACAGCGGAGGAACCGGCGGGGAGCGGCGCGGGAGGGGGCGGGGAGCCUACGGCCGACCCCCGAACGCCCGCAGCCGCUACUGCAGCACCAGCCGGGAUGGCAAAGGUCAGCACCAGCCUGGAUAAAGAAGCCUCAGACCCUGUUCUCCGUCUCUGAAGACCCAGCCCGGCCGGCAGAGCACCCAAGCCCGGAACCAGAGACAUGGCCCCCGGCAGCCGGAGCCCCUCGUCCCAGGUGAGAUGGGAAGGAGGCCGGGAGGCCCAGGGGAGAAGGGAGGACAUUCCCAGGAUGAGAGAAGCCCCUGGAUGCCAGUUAUGGGAUGGAGAGUCCUGGUCAAGGCUCAGCCAGGGCCCAGUGUCCCCAGGUCCGGGAGGGGGAAGGGAAGAAGGUGGGAGAAGCCCGGCCCGGCUUUGGGGCCUGGUUCUGUGGCAUCUGCCAUGAGCCGGGAGCCCUGGAAAUAGGGUCUCUUUUGAUCUUGUUGUGAGAAUGGUCCGGGUCCUUGCUGGGGACGCCCAGAGUAAGGGAGUGCAGGAUCCAGCCAGAGACUAAACUGGGCUUUAUUUGUCCACUCAGGAGGGUGACAGUUUCCAUGGGUGGCUGUUGACAGAGACACAGUCUCUCCUCCUGAGCCACAGCUUUUAUCUUGUACCCAGACUCCCAAAGAAGUUCUGCGUGAGAACUGGUUAGGACACAGAGAAAGGCAAAGGGACCUUAUUCAGAAAAGAACACAAGAUGUGGGUCUGUGCAUUUAGGGUUAGAAACGUCUGUACAGAGGGUUUUCCCAUAGAUCCCUAGACCAGGCCAAGGGAGUGACUCAGCAUUUGCCCUGGAAGUGAGUCCAUGAAGCUUCUAAAAGGGUUUGGCAGAUGGAGUAUAAUGAAGGGGACAUUGAGCGUAUUGAUAUUUAGAACAGCCAGGGUAGAAUCAAGUGGAGUUUAUUAGGUUUUCUUCACGAUUCACAUUUAAAAAGCCCCCAUGCUGGAUUAAAGGCUCAGGAAAGAGACUUAAUGAUGGCCAGACAUCAGCUCUGGGUAUGGUGGUGAAGGUUGGUGCCCUUGAGGAGUCUCCUAGUCAGGAGAGCAGGACUUCUGGGUGGGCUGAGACUGAGGGAAGUAGGAGUUCUCUCUUGAAAAUGGUUCCCCAAACCACGAAUGGUUCUUUGAGGGAGAGUCAGGGAAAGCAAAGGUCAUCCCCCUGACCUCUCCGAGCUCCAGACUCAGACCUACCUGGGGAGUGCAAGCACAGCUGUGCAUUUUUAGGAGACAGUUAUCUCAAGAAAAAGGGGAGAUUUUUCCCCCUCGGGGCUUCCACAGAGCAGAGAAGUCCUAGGCAAAGUUUGCUGAGAAAGGAGGGUCCUGCGGAAGUAAGAAAUCCCUGUGGGCCUCAGGGAACUGAUGCUUUUCUGGGAGCACACAAGAGUUACGCUGUUGGAAUAUGUAUUAAGCAAUGUUUACAAAUUUCUGCAUGCAAUUAGGUCUAUUUUGCACAAUUUUUUGUAUUUGUGGGGUUUUUUUAAUUAAAGCUUUUUAUUUACAAAACAGAUGCAUGGGUAAUUUUUCAGUUUUGACCCUUGCAAAACUUUCUGUUACAAAUUUUUCCCUCCUCUCCCCUUUCUCCCUCCCCACUACACCUAGAUGGCAGGUAGUCCAAUAGAUGUUAAAUAUGUUAAAAUAUACGUUAAAUCCAA